UACGGGGGGGGCAAGCGUUGUUCGGAAUUACUGGGCGUAAAGGGCUCGUAGGUGGCCAACUAAGUCAGACGUGAAAUCCCUCAGCUUAACUGGGGAACUGCGUCUGAUACUGGAUGGCUUGAGUUUGGGAGAGGGAUGCGGAAUUCCAGGUGUAGCGGUGAAAUGCGUAGAUAUCUGGAGGAACACCGGUGGCGAAGGCGGCAUCCUGGACCAACACUGACGCUCAGGCACGAAAGCGUGGGGAGCAAACAGG
rnacentral:rRNA from 1 species